ACUCGAGUGGCGAACGGGUGAGUAACACGUGGGUCAUCUGCCCUGCACUUCGGGAUAAGCUUGGGAAACUGGGUCUAAUACCGGAUAGGAGCCAUCUUUAGUGUGGUGGUUGGAAAGUUUUUCGGUGUAGGAUGAGCUCGCGGCCUAUCAGCUUGUUGGUGGGGUAAUGGCCUACCAAGGCGGCGACGGGUAGCCGGCCUGAGAGGGUGUACGGCCACAUUGGGACUGAGAUACGGCCCAG
rnacentral:rRNA from 1 species